AAGGAAGAGAAGUUGACCUCCCUGGGAUGUCGUCACUUCAUUAUUGGCUGCACCUGCGCAAUCAUGUGAUGCGAUACAUUUUUCAAAGACGUUUUUCAAGACACAGGAGAGGUCGGGUUGAAACAUUACUGAUGUUUCACGUUAAAAAUGGCUCUAAAGAUUGAUGCUAAACAACGUUUGACAUGUUUGAACAAUGUAAAUAGAUAAUUUUUUUUACUUUUCGCCGUGACUCCCCCCCCCCCGUGCUACUUUUUAGUAGCCUACCGAAGCGCUAACAACUUGGAGUUAUUGGGACAUCAAUUAUGAACUUUGUUGAAAGAAACCACAUUUGCAGUGGACCUGGGAUGCCUGGAAUUGCCAAUGGAUGAAGAGAAUCAAAGUCCACUCUAUCCCUCUCUCUUUCCCUCUAUAGUCCACUCCCCCCUCUCUCUCUCCAUCUCUCUUUCCCUCUAUAGUCCUCUCUCUCUCUCUCUCUCUCUCUCUCUCUCUCUCUCGCUCUCUCUCUUUCCAUCUAUAGUCCCCUCCCCC
rnacentral:lncRNA from 1 species